rnacentral:rRNA from 1 species
UACGUAGGGGGCAAGCGUUGUCCGGAUUUAUUGGGCGUAAAGAGCGUGUAGGCGGUCAGGUAGGUCCGUUGUGAAAACUCGAGGCUCAACCUCGAGACGCCGAUGGAAACCAUCUGACUAGAGUCCGGAAGAGGAGAGUGGAAUUCCUGGUGUAGCAGUGAAAUGCGCAGAUAUCAGGAAGAACACCCGUGGCUAAGGCGGCUCUCUAGUACGGUACUGACGCUGAGACGCGAAAGCGUGGGGAGCGAACAGG